CAGCACAGGAAUAUUCAGUUGUUCAUAACGGCGUGUGGUGCAGACCACCAGCUGCCUCGCUGUCAACUCAUUGCCGACGCCUUUCGUCUGUGACAGCUUCAUCCACGCUGCGUAACUCGUAUGGGCUGCACUCUGGAUCAUACAAGUAACCCUGAAUAUUAGACUUGCUAUCUUCUAAAUAAUCCAGAGCAGGUCAUCCUGCCAUUGAUUAUUUGUGCUGUAGGUGUACUGUAUGCAAGGAAAACAAUUGCAGACUGAGCAGUUGCAUUCCUGCAGCCUGGCUCCGCCCCCAACUUACCGUUGCUGGGGCAGCUAAAGAGGAAAUCAGGAGGCAUUAGUUGUAGUUUUUGAGCCCAUGGCAAACCAUCUGCCAAGGUGUUUUACCGGAUGAAUAAAUGAUAACUUAUCUUAAUAACUUAACUUAUUAACUUAAUUUAUAGCAUAGAAAUUAUGGAGCAAUCUGAGUGUCCCCUUAUCAAUAAAUAUUACUCAACAUCAUUUUGGUCAACCCCCAUUGAAAAUCGCUGAAGAUGUCAAUUUAACAGUGUCACACAGGAACUGGUAGAAAGGCCUAGAACAAGCAGUCUAAGUAAAAAGAAAUGUUUACAACUUAAUAACACAUAAUUAGAAUUUAGUGGUAGCCAAUGUGAUUGUUCGUCUAUACAGCUUUUGAUACAUUCUUAUGUUUGUGCUUUUCUGUUCUGUAGGUUUCAUCAAUCUCAGAGCUAUGAGCAUGAGGUUGCUGUCCACCCAGUUCUUGUGGAGCUUUCUUCACUUUUAAAUGCCUGGGGAUGACUGGAGAUGACUGGAAAUACAUCUAUGGACCUAUGAGCUGAAGUUUUUUUUUGUCAAAGCUUUACACAUGUUUUAUGAGGAAAAAAUACAUUUUGGCAACCUAACAAUUACACACAGUUGUUUUGCUGUGAGCCACUGCCUGUAAACAUAACUAUUUACAAAAAGCCCACAGGAGACCUUUCACAGGGAUCGAUGACUUACUGCUGUGCUGAAUGUCAGGAUGUCUGACAGAGGACACACAGGCUGCUGGAGGGACGCCAGAGGACCAGAGGACAAAUCCUGACUUCACGAUGUCCACACAACAUCAGCAUGAUGGUCUGUGUGUGUGUGUGUGUGUGUGUGUGUGAGUGUGUGUGUGUGUGUGUGUGUGUGUGUGUGUGUGUGUGUGUGUGUGUGUGUGUGUGUGUGUGUGUGUGUGUGUGUUUGCCCAUCGAUUCUCAGUAGUCAGAAGGAGAAGCAUGGACUUUUCUGAGAAUGUACACACACACACACACACACACACACACACACACACACA